rnacentral:rRNA from 1 species
UGCAGUCGAACGUGAAAGCACUUCGGUGUGAGUAGAGUGGCGGACGGGUGAGUAACGCGUGGGAAUCUACCCAGUAGUGGGGGACAACUACCGGAAACGGUAGCUAAUACCGCAUACGCCCUAUGGGGGAAAGGCUUCGGCCGCUAUUGGAUGAGCCCGCGUCAGAUUAGCUAGUUGGUAGGGUAAAAGCCUACCAAGGCAACGAUCUGUAGCUGGUCUGAGAGGACGAACAGCCACACUGGGACUGAGACGCGGCCCAGACUCCUACGGGAGGCAGCAGUGGGGAAUAUUGGACAAUGGGCGAAAGCCUGAUCCAGCAAUGCCGCGUGUGUGAAGAAGGCCUGCGGGUUGUAAAGCACUUUCAGUUGGGAAGAUGAUGACGUUACCAACAGAAGAAGCACCGGCUAAAUCCGUGCCAGCAGCCGCGGUAAUACGGAUGGUGCGAGCGUUAAUCGGAAUUACUGGGCGUAAAGCGCGCGUAGGCGGCUAAGUCAGUCAGAAGUGAAAGCCCCGGGCUCAACCUGGGAAUUGCUUUUGAUACUGCUUAGCUAGAGUUUGGUAGAGGAUAGUGGAAUUCCAGGUGUAGCGGUGAAAUGCGUAGAUAUCUGGAGGAACAUCAGUGGCGAAGGCGACUGUCUGGACCAAAACUGACGCUGAGGUGCGAAAGCGUGGGUAGCAAACAGGAUUAGAUACCCUGGUAGUCCACGCCGUAAACGAUGUCAACUAGCCGUCGGGUCUAUUUACAGACUUGGUGGCGCAGCUAACGCGAUAAGUUGACCGCCUGGGGAGUACGGCCGCAAGGUUAAAACUCAAAGGAAUUGACGGGGGCCCGCACAAGCGGUGGAGCAUGUGGUUUAAUUC